rnacentral:rRNA from 2 species
GUGGAUUAGUGGCGAACGGGUGAGUAACACGUGGGCAAUCUGCCCUUCACUCUGGGACAAGCCCUGGAAACGGGGUCUAAUACCGGAUAACACUCUGUCCCGCAUGGGACGGGGUUAAAAGCUCCGGCGGUGAAGGAUGAGCCCGCGGCCUAUCAGCUUGUUGGUGGGGUGAUGGCCUACCAAGGCGACGACGGGUAGCCGGCCUGAGAGGGCGACCGGCCACACUGGGACUGAGACACGGNCCAAANUUAUACGGGAGGCAGCAGUGGGGAAUAUUGCACAAUGGGCGAAAGCCUGAUGCAGCGACGCCGCGUGAGGGAUGACGGCCUUCGGGUUGUAAACCUCUUUCAGCAGGGAAGAAGCGAAAGUGACGGUACCUGCAGAAGAAGCGCCGGCUAACUACGUGCCAGCAGCCGCGGUAAUACGUAGGGCGCAAGCGUUGUCCGGAAUUAUUGGGCGUAAAGAGCUCGUAGGCGGCUUGUCACGUCGGAUGUGAAAGCCCGGGGCUUAACCCCGGGUCUGCAUUCGAUACGGGCUAGCUAGAGUGUGGUAGGGGAGAUCGGAAUUCCUGGUGUAGCGGUGAAAUGCGCAGAUAUCAGGAGGAACACCGGUGGCGAAGGCGGAUCUCUGGGCCAUUACUGACGCUGAGGAGCGAAAGCGUGGGGAGCG